ensembl:lncRNA
CAGAGACAAUGAUAAACAGCUGCCUCUGAUUGGGAACCAUAUCAGGCCACCAUAGAAAUACAAAUUCACCUAGAUGAGGCUCCCAAGUCACUAUCCCACCCCAACCAACACAGAGAAUAACACAGCUUACUAUGGUCAGGGUGUGACAAAUACCCUAAUAUUGAUACAAUCAAGUACCCAUAUCCUAGCCCCAAAUGCCAUAUUUGUUACUCAUAGACCCCAGUUCCUUUGCCAAUACACCUCAUCCAUGUUACUUGCCUAUCUCAGCCAUGUUACCCACUUUCAUUUGGCCUGUAUUCCCCACGUCACCAACAGUAACCUAUCAAGCUAGUCGCUGUACAUCCCAACCCUGUCAUUUGCAUAUCUUAGUCCUACGACCUUAACCUGUACACGCUAAUCAUUUCCUACCACAAAAUUAUUGCCAGAAAGGAUUUUAAAUGGGCAAUAGAGGUCCAUCCAGACCCAUUACCUGAAUUGAGCCUUGUGUAUCUCUACACCCCAUGACUCAUAUAAACCAGAUCGAUACAUGGGUUCUCCAUAUAAAAACAGGUCUACCCCAGUGCCCAAACAUUCAUACAAACCUGGUCGACACUUGUACUUCAGCCCCAAUAUUCUUACAGACCAGGUGUACACCUGCAAGUCUAACCCAAUAUUCUUUACAGACCAGGUGUAGACCUGCAAGUCUAACCCAAUAUUCUUUACAGACCAGGUGUACACCUGCAAGUCUAACCCAAUAUUCUUUACAGACCAGGUGUACACCUGCAAGUCUAACCCAAUAUUCUUUACAGACCAGGUGUACACCUGCAAGUCUAACCCAGUAUUCUUUACAGACCAGGUGUACACCUGCAAGUCUAACCCAAUAUUGAAAAACAAAAAGUCUACUGCUACAUGUCAGCCCCAUGUGUCAUAGAAAUAGGUGUACUUCUGCAUUUCAGACAUACAAACCAGGUCUACACCUGUACUUCAGAUGCAAUUUACAUACCUACAAAGUCUGCACCUAUGCUUGAACUCAAUUAGUCAACUAAGCCAGGUCUAAAUGUGUUGAAGCCUGAACUGUAAACCAGGUCUAUCCCUGCACCUCAGCUCCAGUACUCCUACAAAUCAGGUCUACACCUUUGACCGAGUCCCAACACUAAUAUAAACCAGAUCCACACUAAUUCAGUAUUAUGGGUCUAUAUAUGGCCAAUUCCUUCUGAAAUAACAAAAUCACUGAUUUAAACAUACACUACCGGUCAAAAGCUUCAGAACACCUACUCAUUCCAGGGUAUUUCUUUAUUUUUAUUAUUUUCUACACUGUAGAAUAAUAGUGAAGACAUCAACACUAUGAAAUAACACAUAAGGAAUCAUGUAGUAACCAAAAAAAAGUGUUAAAC